UGACCUCCUCCAUCUGUGGUCCUCACCGAUUGGGGCGCAGACACGGUGCCCGACCCCCCCGGCUCCUGGGCAGAGCCCUUCCUAGUGCAAAGCGCUGGGAGUUUCCGAGAUCACGGAGUUCUCCCCCCAGAAACUUCCCACCCCAGAGCCUCUGGGUCGCUUUCCCGUCAGCAGCUCGUGCACUGCUCCAGCACCUUCUUUCUGGGUUGGCAAAUACCAAGAAUGGUGAAUGCAGCCAUAGAACAAGAGUUACUACAGGUCUGUCCAUUGAAGUGAGUGGCACUUUUUGGGGCACCCUCACAGGAGCAGUGCAGGAUUCCUACAUAGUGCUCAAGAAAGUGCUUGCAGGUCCACAGCCCGCCGAGAGUGUGGUCCCUUGCCUAUGGAUAAGGUCAUGCCUUCAGCUAGAAGCACAUCCUACCUGGAGAUACACAUUGCUCCUCUUUGCACCUGGCAGCUCAUCUCCUUUGCCCAGCAGAAUGGCUCUAGUGCCUAACACAGAGAUGAGACUAGUUCUUAUCGUCCCUCCCAUUCUGACUACACAGUUCAUCUUCUCAGGGCAGGGUUUUGCCCACAAAAGCAUAUUUUCCUUUAUCAGAAGGUUCCUAUUAUUUGUCAUUAGGAAAUAACACCCUCUGUGCACGAUUAAAAUGUAUACCCCUGCACACAGUGAGAUCAAUAAAACCAAUGCAAGUGCAUCACACACUAAGGAUUGAAUAGAAACAGCUUUGUACAGUUUACUGUUGAUGUUCAAUUUUUACCAGAAAAUGUGACAGUUUAUCAGCAUUUAAAUGUUGUGGUUGCUUAAUAAAGCCACACACUUUGGUAGAACCAGUCAGGGUAGUUCCUCCCCUUCCAUACGUUAGUAAUCCCAGAGCUGUGUAAUAAAUAUUUAGGAUGAAUUCCUGGCCUCAUUAAAGUCAAUGGAAGUUUUGCCAUUGUAGAGACCCAGAUUAUAGAAUGGAACUGGGAUUGAAAGGCAUGUGAACCAACAGAUGCUAGCGACACCUCAGGGUUGGCAGGUUGACAGUUCUCGUCUUAAUUCUUCUCAUUGCAUUUGUGUGUCUGUGUGCACGCGCACACACAAAAUCUUUCCUUGCUGCAUGUUCAGCCCAGAAACCAUACUGAACCUGUAACAAUUUCACCCAGUUGCUGUCCCAAAAUGAAACUCUGAUUUUCCACAGUCUUGCAUCUUCUGUAGAAAUCGGAAUGGCAGCAUUUUCCACUCACUGUGCCCUGGUGUAAAUGAUUGCACAAGGUGGAGGACAACAGAGAAACAGGGCUGAGGGCUCUGGUAAACUCUGCUCCAGUUCUAACCUUCUUGCAAAUCUGGCUUCUUCUUAACUUUUGUUGUUGCUUCCAGCUUCUCUGUUGUUGGUCUGAGGCCCAGCUAGGUUCACAUGUAUACUUUCGUAUAAUUAUCUGUCUCAGGAAACAGAACUUCUGUCCACCAAAUAUAACUAAAGCCCCUUCUUCUAUCAAAUAGGAACUCUGAAAGGGGCCUCUGCAGAGAAGACAUGGAUGAGACAAAAUCCUGAUUGCCAUUAGUUCUCUUAGCUAUCAUGAGAAAGAUAAAGAGGAACUCAAGACUGUAGUGCAGUGGUUCUCAGACUCAUGAUUGCUGGUGAUUAGCAUGGCUGUCAUGUGCUGGCUCUCUUCUUGGUUUCCAUCUUGUAAAUUGCAUUAAAAGAUAGCUAGAAUGCAUGCAAUACGUAUUAUUUUUCCAAGUAAACAAUGAUUGUAGUUGUUUCAGGGACGUCAUACAAUCAUGGAUGGGAGGGCAAGUGGUCUGUAUGGUUUGAAAGAGAGUGGGAGUGUCUACAAGACAAUCUCUUUACAAGGCAGAUAUGGUCUACAUUAUGAAAGGGUCUGAGAAUCCUUGCUCUAGUGGGUAGAUUGCUACUGACUAGUGAAGAUGACGAUAUUGGAAUAUCACAAAGUCACCAGGACUGUGGACCUCAGUAAUAAGUACUUGUGCUUCAACAGAGUAAGUGAGGGAGGUGAUAGUUACCCUUCAAAUUCACUGGGGUGAUGAGCAGAGGCAUUUGAAUAUGGCAGCAGUAAAUAUCAUGCUUGGGGUUAAAUAUGUACUGCAACACAUAAUGUCUUCUAAGAAUUAUAAAGAACAUUUCAUUUAUUUCCACAGCUUCCAAAAUUUCCAGCCAUGUUAAAAUAUUGACAAAGAUAAGUUGAUGUGCUAACAUUAACAUAUGAUAAACACGUAAGAACAGAUCCUUAGCCGGUGUAAAUUGGCAGAACACCACUGAAGUCAAUGGAACUAUCCCAAUUUAUUCCAUGACACGAUCUGGCCCAGAAUUUGGAAGGAUGAUGAAAAUGGUGUAAUGCAUGAAACACCAGUAAUGCCAGUUAGUGACAAAUAUCUCAUUUUUAAUACUGUUACACCAGGUAAAAGGGAGUAUGUGAAUAUUGUAAAUAGGUCAGUUAUUUAUUGUAAAAUAAUUAAGAAUGGCACAAACAAUAGAGUCAAUUGAUUGAUGGCAUGUAACACAGUGUCCAAAAGGAUGGACCCAGUAUUGGACAGUUAUUGUAGAUUCAUGGUGGUUUAUUCCAUCAUGCUGGCACAAUUAUGGUGAUCCAUGAUAUAUAAUGUACAGGAGGUAUGUGUAUGAUCUACAGGGGAUCAGUGUGAUUAUGGAUGUGUUGGGAAUGAAACUAGUUUGGUAAGUAGUAUUUUUAUUGGGUCUUGAUUAUGUGAAAUGGAGUAAAAGAGGGUACCAGAGUUAUGUGUGAGAGGACACUGAAUGCAUCCGAUGAAGUGAGCUGUAGCUCACGAAAGCUUAUGCUCAAAUAAAUUUGUUAGUCUCUAAGGUGCCACAAGUCCUCCCUUUCUAUUUGUCUUUAACUUGUGACAUUGGUCAAGUAACACCUGUUUUAACACAGUCCUUUCCCUAGUGCUAUAUGUGUUUCAUAAAUGGAAUAAUCCAACAGGUGUAGGUAGCAGGGCUUUGCCUAAUUUAGUUGAGGAUGUGAUGCAUGAUACAUGGCCCCUCUUUGGUCCACUUGGGCAAAGCAUGCCAAGUGAUGGCCAAUCUCACUGGUGUCAUACAAAGCAAACUGAGUGGGACAGAAGUGAAAAGGGCUAGGAUAAUAAAUGGUUGGCAUUCUGAAGACAUGAUUUUAAAAGGUGUAAUAAUACUGCAAAAUACACAUUACUGAAGAGUUUUAACACAAUUUAUUUUAUGCUUAAAUAAUCAGCUAGAUCAUCCAGUGUAUGUUGUUUUCAUACAUACGUAAUUAGAGCUAUUAUCAAUGAAUGUUGUUUUCAUAUGAAUAUAAUCAACAAAUUAAAGUAUUUCACCAAAACCCAAAUAAAAAUGCCCUUUAAAACACAGCAGCCUUAACAACCUAAUAUUACACUGCUAGAAUGAUUACAGAUGAUUGGCUUACUGAAAGAUUCUACAUCUUAUAGCCAGUACACAAUACAGUAAUAAUUUUACAGCGUGCUGCCAGUCUAUUAGCUAAUAAUUUCUCUUCGGUUCAUUUUAAAAUAUCCCAAACUUGUGCUUUAUAAGAGCACCAACCCAGUUCUAAAGCUGCAAGCAUUACCCCCAUUAUAAAGCAAGAACAGAUAGCACCCCCCUCCCCAUAAUGCAACUACUGUAUAUGGUAUGUUUUUAGGUCAUUUCAUUGAAAAAUUGGCAACAGCAACAAAUAUUAGAUGAAGGGCUUUGUGUUUACAGAUAAAAUCCUAUUUAUCAUGUUGCAGUAUAGUGUUUGCAAAACUGGAAAAGAUUUAAUCAAAAUAAGGUGAAACACAUGCAUCAAAAUAUUAGUACUCUGAAGAAAAGUUUUCACAGAACUACUGAAUUCCUCAUUUUGGGAAUCAUUUAAAUUUGCAGCAGAUUUUAAAGAUUUUUUUAAAAUCAAGCUAGCAUUUUUGCAUAUACAAACAUAAUAAUUGCUAAUAUACAAGAAUCUGUGAAGAUACACCCAGAAUAUCCUUGUAGGUGUAGCCAUUUGAGACACCUAUUUUGUUUGAUGCAUUUGCAAUAUUCUGUUUGUGAUCUAAGAGGCAGUGCCUUAUCAACAUUCAUUCUAUUUUCUGUUAGAAUUUAUACAGUGUUAUUUAUUUACAGCAAAACUAUUGAUGUUUAAAAAAGAAACAAAUAGUGUUUUAUACCCUGACAGUUUGGGUCCAAGAAAAAUAAGGCGAGCUGUUGUGGAUUUAGUAAUUUUAGUGUCUUUCCAUGGUUUAGCCAUUUCAUCUUCUUAUGUCCCCUCUGACCACAGGAAUUUAUUUCUUUUAUGAUGACAUCAAAUUGCUUGAAAUAAAGCUGUUAACAGCAUGGCAAUCUUGUAUAUACACUGCAUUGUUAAUUGCACACUCUCCAAUCCUGUGAAUGACAGUGAAUUUCCAUGCUCUGUAAAUUGGCUCAUGCUAAAUUAAAUUUUUAUUGUUUUUUUGCAU